GGAAACUAUCGAAACAAGACCAACACAAGAGAGAGAAAUGAAGCAGUGAAUACCAGGAGCAACACUACAACUCGGAAGCAGUAAAAGACCUCCAGCUAUUUGCGAGGAAAAUAGUUUUUAAAAAGAUAUUUCACUCAUCACAAACAUAUACACCUUUUGAUACAUCUGGUGAAAUUGAAGCAGUUCAAGCAUUACAAGAUCUUCUUGGUGAGCAGGAGUCGGACCACACAGAGUAAAGCUGCUUUGGUUACUGAUAAUAUGCAGCCGGACUGGAGCACUGCAGAAUAUUGGAAAGCUCCCCAUCAAUGUACACUUAAUCCAAGCUGGUGAUUGAUCACUCGGAGUCUUUGGCUGAACUCACAACCCAGUAACAACGUUUUCCUGGUGCUCACAUUCAGGUUAUGAGAACUUAACAGCCACCAGAGCUUCUGUCUUGGGCAGAUUAUAAUGGUGCAAUAAACAAGCAGUUGGGUUUAGAGUUGAAUGAGUUGGGUAAAACAACCCAAGGGCAUCAAGGGCAAUAGAAAAGCUACUAUUGCUGCACUGGGACCCAUGAAAAGACAAUACAACUAAGAUAUAGACUAAGGAUUGGAGGUGGGCCGAGCACAUUAACAUGACUAUGAAGGAC